rnacentral:rRNA from 1 species
GUGAAAUUGUUGAAAGGGAAACGAUUGAAGUCAGUCAUACCAACGGGAAAUCAACCUUUUGAGCUUGGUCUCGUGGGUUUUGAAGAGUUUCAAAGCCUUCGGAUUCGCGGGAUUGGGAUCUCUCGGUGUACUUUUUCGUACGGUUAGUCAACAUCGGUUUUGAAUGUCAUAAAAUGACUGGAGGAAUGUAGCUUCGAUCUCGUAUUGAAGUGUUAUAGCCUUUGGUAGAUGUGAUGUUUGAGACCGAGGAUUGCAACGGAUACCCUUCGGGGCUAACCGUCUGAUCUCUGAAAGUUGCUCUGGUGCUGAAAGCUUGCUUAUGGUAUCAAAGUUGACGUUCAAAAGGUUAGAACGGGAUAAAUUCGUUAAGGAUGUUGACGUAAUGGCUUUAAACGAC